UACGAAGGGGGGCGAGCGUUGUUCGGAUUUACUGGGCGUAAAGGGCGCGUAGGCGGCCCUCCUUGUCGCGUGUGAAAGCCCCGGGCUCAACCUGGGAACGGCGCGCGAGACGGGGGGGGCUGGAGUUCGGGAGAGGAGCGUGGAAUUCCCAGUGUAGAGGUGAAAUUCGUAGAUAUUGGGAAGAACAUCAGUUGCGAAGGCGGCCACCUGGACCAGCACUGACACUGAGGCACGAAAGCGUGGGGAGCAAACAGG
rnacentral:rRNA from 1 species